rnacentral:rRNA from 1 species
UACAGAGGGUGCAAGCGUUAAUCGGAAUUACUGGGCGUAAAGCGUGCGUAGACGGUUAUGUAAGUCGGGUGUGAAAGCCCCGGGCUCAACCUGGGAAUGCCAUUCGAGACUGCAUAGCUAGGGUGCGGAAGAGGGAAGCGGAAUUUCCGGUGUAGCGGUGAAAUGCGCAGAUAUCAGGAGGAACACCAAUAGCGAAGGCAGCUCGCUGGGACGGUAUUGACGCUGAGGCGCGAAAGCGUGGGGAGCGAACAGG